rnacentral:rRNA from 1 species
AACGAACGCUGGCGGCAGGCUUAACACAUGCAAGUCGAGCGCCCCGCAAGGGGAGCGGCAGACGGGUGAGUAACGCGUGGGAAUCUACCAUCUCUACGGAAUAACGCAUGGAAACGUGUGCUAAUACCGUAUACGUUCUUCGGGAGAAAGAUUUAUCGGAGAUGGAUGAGCCCGCGUUGGAUUAGCUAGUUGGUGGGGUAAAGGCCCACCAAGGCGACGAUCCAUAGCUGGUCUGCGAGGAUGAUCAGCCACACUGGGACUGAGACACGGCCCAGACUCCUACGGGAGGCAGCAGUGGGGAAUAUUGGACAAUGGGCGCAAGCCUGAUCCAGCCAUGCCGCGUGAGUGAUGAAGGCCCUAGGGUUGUAAAGCUCUUUCACCGGUGAAGAUAAUGACGGUAACCGGAGAAGAAGCCCCGGCUAACUUCGUGCCAGCCGCCGCGGUAAGAC